rnacentral:rRNA from 1 species
UACGCAGGGUGCGAGCGUUAAUCGGAAUUACUGGGCGUAAAGCGUGCGCAGGCGGCUUGGCAAGUCGGGUGUGAAAUCCCGGGGCUCAACCCCGGUGACUGCAUCCGAUACUGUCAGGCUAGAGGAGGUAGGGGAGAUCGGGAAUUCCUGGUGUAGCGGUGAAAUGCGCAGAUAUCAGGAGGAACACCGGUGGCGAAGGCGGAUCUCGUGGGCCUUACCAUGACGCUCAGGCGACGAAAGCUAGGGGAGCGAACAGG